CACGUAGGGUGCGAGCGUUGUCCGGAAUUAUUGGGCGUAAAGAGCUCGUAGGCGGUGUGUCGCGUCGGCCGUGAAAACCUGCAGCUUAACUGUGGGCUUGCGGUCGAUACGGGCAUCACUGGAGUUCGGCAGGGGAGACUGGAAUUCCUGGUGUAGCGGUGAAAUGCGCAGAUAUCAGGAGGAACACCGGUGGCGAAGGCGGCGUUCUGGACUGCAACUGACACUGAGGAACGAAAGCCAGGGGAGCAAACGGG
rnacentral:rRNA from 1 species